AUGAGGAGUCGGACCUGCCCAGUGAAUUUUUUCAACGGCCGCGGUACUCUGACCGUGCAAAGGUAGCAUAAUCAUUUGCCUUAUAAUUGGAGGCUAGUAUGAAUGGUUUGACAAGAAUAUAGCUGUCUCUUUUAGAUUAAUUAGAACUUUAUAUUAAGGUGAAGAAGCCUUAAUUUCAUUAAAAGACAAGAAGACCCUGUCGAGCUUAAAAACAAUUAAUAGAAUAUAUUAAAUAAAAUUAGAAAAAUUUCUUUUAAAUAUUUUGGUUGGGGCGACUGAGGAACAAAAAAAGCUUCCUUAUAUUAACAUAAUUUAUUGAUCUUGAUCCAAAAUUUUUGAUUAAAAAAAUUAGUUACCGCAGGGAUAACAGCAUUAUCUUUUUUGAGAGUUCUUAUCGAAAAAAAGGUUUGUGACCUCGAUGUUGGACCAGAAUAUCCCAAAGAUGCAGAAGUCUUUAAAGGUUGGUCUGUUCGACCAUUAAAAUUCUA
rnacentral:rRNA from 1 species